GCGCUGCAUUAGCUAGUUGGUAAGGUAACGGCUUACCAAGGCAACGAUGCAUAGCCGACCUGAGAGGGUGAUCGGCCACACUGGAACUGAGACACGGUCCAGACUCCUACGGGAGGCAGCAGUAGGGAAUCUUCCGCAAUGGGCGAAAGCCUGACGGAGCAACGCCGCGUGAGUGAUGAAGGUCUUCGGAUCGUAAAACUCUGUUAUUAGGGAAGAACAUAUGUGUAAGUAACUGUGCACAUCUUGACGGUACCUAAUCAGAAAGCCACGGCUAACUACGUGCCAGCAGCCGCGGUAAUACGUAGGUGGCAAGCGUUAUCCGGAAUUAUUGGGCGUAAAGCGCGCGUAGGCGGUUUUUUAAGUCUGAUGUGAAAGCCCACGGCUCAACCGUGGAGGGUCAUUGGAAACUGGAAAACUUGAGUGCAGAAGAGGAAAGUGGAAUUCCAUGUGUAGCGGUGAAAUGCGCAGAGAUAUGGAGGAACACCAGUGGCGAAGGCGACUUUCU
rnacentral:rRNA from 1 species